CAUAAUGUGUGCAAAUGUCAAACUUUUCUUCCAGACUAAUCUUUCUUGUUAACUUCCGUCUUGAACAGAUAUUUCUGAUCAAGAUGAGAGCAAAGUGGAGGAAGAAGCGCAUGAGGAGGUUAAAGCGCAAAAGGAGAAAGAUGAGGGCAAGAUCAAAGUAGACAGCCCCCCUUCACAUUUCAAGUUAAAUCAGGAACAGGGAAGGACUUGGUGUGAAAGACAUUUGACUUUAGAUAACCCUAUUAAUUGAUGAAGAGAAGAAGAGGAAAAAAAGAAGAGGAAGAAGAUAAAUGUGAAGCGUGGCCAUUAGCCUGUUCAGGCUUCACAUGUCAUGUGGUAUUUCACACUGGGGACAGUAAAUCAUUUACUCAUCGUCAUUAUCAGUAAUCAUCAUCCAUCAUUAAGGUCGUGUAACUGGACACCCAGGGAGAUUGUGAAAUUGACCGCUGAGUGUUCUCUACUUUGGCCUCUUAAUACUGUUUGCUGAAGCUUUCAGCUAGGAGCAGCCUUUUCUGUUCUUGAUUUGUAUUUGAGUAAUUAAAAAAAAGUAAAAUUGCA